AGAUCUGUUUGAUCCUGGCUCAGAACGAACGUUGGCGGCGUGGAUUAGGCAUGCAAGUCGAAUGAAUGCCGGGUAGCAAUACUCGGCGGAAAUGGCGAAAGGGGCAGUAAUGUAUAGGUAAUCUACCUCGGGGAUGGGGAUAGCCGUUCUAACGGACGGGUAAUACCCAGCGACGCAAUGUGCUCGCAUGAGCGUGUUGCCAAAUGAGUUUCGCCCUGAGAGGAGCCUAUAUCGUAUUAGCUAGUUGGUGAGGUAACGGCUCACCAAGGCUUAGAUGCGUAGCGGGUGUGAGAGCACGACCCGCGCCACUGGCACUGAGACACUGGCCAGACACCUACGGGUGGCUGCAGUCGAGGAUCUUCGGCAAUGGGCGCAAGCCUGACCGAGCGACGCCGCGUGAGCGAUGAAGGCCUUCGGGUUGUAAAGCUCUUUGGUGGGGGAGAAAAGGGCAACCUUGAUCUAUCCCAAGAACAAGCACGGGCUAAGUUCGUGCCAGCAGCCGCGGUAAGACGAACCGUGCGAACGUUGUUCGGAAUAACUGGGCUUAAAGGGCGCGUAGGCGGGCUCGCAAGUCUGUGGUGAAAUCCUCCAGCUUAACUGGAGAACUGCCUUGGAUACUGCGGGUCUCGAGGAAAGUAGGGGCGUGCGGAACAAUUGGUGGAGCGGUGAAAUGCGUUGAUAUCAAUUGGAACUCCGGUGGCGAAGGCGGCACGCUGGGCUUUUUCUGACGCUGAGGCGCGAAAGCCAGGGGAGCAAACGGGAUUAGAUACCCCGGUAGUCCUGGCCCUAAACGAUGAGUACUAGAUAGUAGACUUGACAUGGGUUUACUGUCGAAGCAAAAGUGCUAAGUACUCCGCCUGGGGAGUAUGGCCGCAAGGCUGAAACUCAAAGGAAUUGACGGGGGCUCACACAAGCGGUGGAGCAUGUGGCUUAAUUCGAGGCUACGCGAAGAACCUUAUCCUGGACUUGACAUGCACGGAUUAGUCUGCGGAAACGUAGAUGACAGCCGCAAGGUUGGAACGUGCACAGGUGCUGCAUGGCUGUCGUCAGCUCGUGUCGUGAGAUGUCGGGUUAAGUCCCAUAACGAGCGAAACCCUUACUCUCUAGUUGCGACCAGGUAAUGCUGAGCACUCUAAGAGGACUGCCGGUGUUAAACCGGAGGAAGGCGGGGAUGACGUCAAGUCCUCAUGGCCUUUAUGUCCAGGGCUGCACACGUGCUACAAUGGCGUGAACAAAGGGAAGCAAAUACGUGAGUAGGAGCAAAUCCCAAAAAACACGCCCCAGUUCAGAUUGAAGGCUGCAACUCGCCUUCAUGAAGUUGGAAUCGCUAGUAAUCGCGGGUCAGCAACACCGCGGUGAAUGUGUUCCUGAGCCUUGUACACACCGCCCGUCAAGCCACGAAAGGGAGGAGCGCCCGAAGCCGCGUAAGCGUCGAAGGUGAUAUUCCUGAUUGGGACUAAGUCGUAACAAGGUAACC
rnacentral:rRNA from 1 species